AGUGAACGCUGGCGGUAGGCCUAACACAUGCAAGUCGAACGGCAGCACAGUAAGAGCUUGCUCUUACGGGUGGCGAGUGGCGGACGGGUGAGGAAUACAUCGGAAUCUACUUUUUCGUGGGGGAUAACGUAGGGAAACUUACGCUAAUACCGCAUACGACCUACGGGUGAAAGCAGGGGAUCUUCGGACCUUGCGCGAUUGAAUGAGCCGAUGUCGGAUUAGCUAGUUGGCGGGGUAAAGGCCCACCAAGGCGACGAUCCGUAGCUGGUCUGAGAGGAUGAUCAACCACACUGGAACUGAGACACGGUCCAGACUCCUACGGGAGGCAGCAGUGGGGAAUAUUGGACAAUGGGCGCAAGCCUGGUCCAGCCAUACCGCGUGGGUGAAGAAGGCCUUCGGGUUGUAAAGCCCUUUUGUUGGGAAAGAAAGGCAGCAGGUUAAUACCCCGCUGUUCUGACGGUACCCAAAGAAUAAGCACCGGCUAACUUCGUG
rnacentral:rRNA from 1 species